CAGUCGCCACGGUAAUACAGAGGGUGCGAGCGUUAAUCGGAUUUACUGGGCGUAAAGCGUGCGUAGGCGGUUAUAUAAGACAGAUGUGAAAUCCCCGGGCUCAACCUGGGAACUGCAUUUGUGACUGUAUAGCUAGAGUACGGCAGAGGGGGAUGGAAUUCCGCGUGUAGCAGUGAAAUGCGUAGAUAUGCGGAGGAACACCGAUGGCGAAGGCAAUCCCCUGGGCCUGUACUGACGCUCAUGCACGAAAGCGUGGGGAGCAAACAGGAUUAGAUACCCGCGUAGUCCCUGUCUCUUAUAA
rnacentral:rRNA from 1 species